GCCUGCAUAGCUCAGGGGUAGAGCAUUAGUUUUGUAAACUAAGGGUCGGGGGUUCGACUCCCUCUGCAGGCU
rfam:Candidatus Pacearchaeota archaeon CG1_02_35_32 cg1_0.2_scaffold_203_c, whole genome shotgun sequence.